rnacentral:rRNA from 1 species
UCCCUAUCUGCCGUGGGCGCAGGAGAACUGGGGGGGGCUGCUCCUAGUACGAUAGGACCGGCGUGGACCCAUAACUUGUACUCGGUUUGAUUCGCCAAUGGCACUGCCCGGUAGCUAAAUGCGGAAGAGAUAAGUGCUGAAAGCAUCUAAGCACGAAACUUGCCCCGAGAUGAGUUCUCCCUGACUCCUUGAGAGUCCUGAAGGAACGUCGUCGUCUUCAACGUU